CCAUGGCCAGCCAGCCUGGAUGAACUUCACUUUUGGAGACAAGUCCAGAGUGAGGAACACAUGUUGGGAUGCUUGUAUCACAGCUUCUUCUGGACAGCUUAAAAACAUCCUAACAAUUGCAAGUCUUCGGGCCUGUGGCUCCCUUAAGCAGACAGCAGCUCUGUUGAAUCAGCACCUAGAUCUGACAUGGGACGACAAGACCGUUGUACAACAUCUGACCUAUGAGAAAAGCCGAGUGUUGCAGCGGGACAAAAUACUGGUAGAAGCUACUUUAAAGAAUCUCUUGGCCUCAUGUUCCCAUCACCGUAUUCUGGGAGAAGUUGAAACAGAUUAUGCAGCUUGGCUGAAUUACAACAUGAGACUCUGGAUGUGCGACCUUCCAAAUGCAAUUGCUCUCUCUGGCAAACUCCAGCUAAACCAGGGGGACACCGUCUUACGAUCUGAAGGGAAAAUCAGCCUUGGAAACAAUGAAGGGACGAUUACGGUGGCUUUACAGAACAACAGCAAGCUGGAAACGAGGAACUAUUCGGCGGAAUUUUCACUGAAAGGACCCGAGGCUACUUGGAUGGAUGUGAAGGCCUGUGUGACCUCUUCGGCUGAUCAAAGCCAAGUCCUUGUCGAGGGAAAGAUGGAUCACCCAAACGAGAAAGUGAAAAUAAAAGCCAUCAGAGGAAAAGAGUGUCUUCGGUAUUACAUGGGAUACUUGAAAGGAAAUUCCGAGGACGCACUAGAAUUUUCAGCUUGUAUGAAAGGUCAAAAGCAUACUGCACUCAAUGCCCGCCUGGUUGUAAACAGACGUGAGGAAAUGGGGCAUCUCACCAUGCAAGCGUCUAACCAAAGUCUGAAUCUGAAGGCCCAUGGCUGUUGGGAUCUUGUCAUGAAGACUGAGUCAAAACUGGGUGAGAUUACGUCUGAUCUCCGGCGCAGACUGGUGGAAAAAAUAAAAAAAUUGGAGGAACAUAUUCAGGAUUUCAGAAAAUCGAUCCGGCACAUUGGAUUUCUGUAUGAUGCUGUCGGCUGGUCGUUGGAAGUCUCCCAAGAAAUGCUACGACUCCUCCACCGUGGGACAAGCAACGCUGCUCAGAUGUGGGAGCAAAGUGGAUUUAAGCGACUCCUACGGGAUCACCUCCCCAUGUACCUGAGGAGGCUUCAAAGCAUCCUACAACAAAUCCAGCUGGAGCUGCAAAAGCCACUAACCACCCUAAAAGAUGCCUACUAUGAUGUGACUUUGAAACCUUUGGAUGAAGUUUGGCAACAGAAGACCGAUGCGUAUCUAAAGAAACUUCAGGCACUGGUGCCGACAGUUGUGAAAGACGUGUGGCUGAUGGAACCUAUCCAGGUUGCAUUGAGAGCUCUCAAAACUGGCUUUGAUAUGGCAACCCAACAGAUACUAAACUGGGCAGAAGCCAAAUUAUCCCGAAUAUUCAGCAGGCUCCAAAAAUCUAUAUCGAAUCUGUACAGAUUCUCACCCAGGAACUGUUCUGUGGCAUUGAGUUUGCCUGUCGUGCCCAAAGGAGGAGCCGCAUUAGAUAUGAUCCACCUUACAAACCACAUCAUUGAAGAGAAAGUUGUGAAGCCCCUUCGGGGCCUCUAUCACAUCAAUCUGGCUGCAGAAUACUACAGAUUCAAGCGAGCCAUCAUGGAGAGCCCUUUUGAACAUCAAGCCUUGUUGAUGGGUACCAAGCACCUAUGGACCUUUGAUGGGAAAGUGUACAGCUUGACGUCCAACUGCAGUUUGCUGCUGGCCAAAGAUUUUUCCCAGGAUGCCUUUACUGUCAUCCUAAACCAGAGCAGUGGUGCAGACAGGUCUCUGUACGUCAACAUGAAGAAAAGAGUUGUCAUCAUUUACCCCGCACUGAAGAUCUACAAGCAAUACAACACUUCGCUGUUGAAGGACUGCGGGAGUUUUGACGUCCCCCUCCAAGAAAAUAGCACCACAGUCCAGGUGGAUACAAACCAGGUUGAAAUGACUGCAGCCGAUGGAGCCUUGGUUUUUUGCGACCUUCGUUACGAUUUCUGUACUUUUACCUUGGAUGGAUGGCAUCAUGGUGUGUCUGCUGGUCUUUUUGGUACCAACGACAAUGAAGCUGGAAACGAAUGGAUGCUUCCUGACCAUUCCCUGGCUAAGAGCUUGCCAGAAUUCAUACAAGCAUGGCAGGUGAACGGCCGUUGCAGUGAAGUCAAGAGAGAUGGCAAAUCUUGCGUCAAUGAGCAGAGCGCUACAAUCUGCCAGAUCUUUUUCCAGGAUCCCGCCUCACCUUUUAGGAACUGUUUUGGAGUUGUGAAUCCUGAACCAUUCUACCACUGGUGCAAAACUGACUUGUGUGAACAGCAGAGCAUCAAAGCAGCCUGUAACUUAGCUGCAGCUUUCAGGCAUCUGUGCAAUCGGAAUUUCAUCCCAAUAGAGAUGCCCCUUCAGUGUGAGACGGCAAAGUGAGGCUGAGAAGAAGCUGGUUGCUUGAAGCUAUGCUUGCAAUAGAGGGAGGAUCUUCCUACUUAAAUCCCCCACCAGCCCAAGCUCAACUCUAACAAGAUCAUAAGCUUCGUCUUACAAAAUUGUCCCGUGUUGGCUUAAUGAAACGACUGGAGGAGCUGUUAAGAUUAGCUUUGACUGUUGCAGUAACCACCAACUGUUGGACCAUCUGGAAAAAGUCCUCAAAAUGGCUUCUCCUUGUGUUUGCUAUGUUAAAGAAGAUACCGCUUGAAAAGUAUCUGGCAAAGUCUUCUCGGCAAAGAGUUGCAGAAUGUUAAAAUUAGAUCUCCGUGUAGCCAUCAGUUUAGAAUAAUUUUGGAGAAGAUUUGUACUGGAUUUUUUUUUCCCCUGCUGCUCCUAAUAAUCAAAUAAGGUUUCAGUUAUGUUCAACAGAAGUGGGUAUUCAGCAGGUUCUGACCAGUUCUGGAGAACCGGUAGCGGAAAUUUUGAGUAGUUUGGAGAACCAGCAAAUCCCACCUCUGACUGGCCCUGACCCCAUCUAUUCUCUGCCCCCCAUUGAAUCCCAGCUGAUCGGCUGGGUCUCCUUUGGUUGCCCUGCAUAGGAGAACGGAGCUGGAAAGCAGGUUAGUGGGGUGGGGAGGGAAUGGGAUUUUGCAGUAACCUUCCCCUGCCACGCCCACCAAGCCACACCCACAGAACCAGUAAUAAAAAAAAAUGAAUCCACCA
rnacentral:lncRNA from 1 species